UAGCUAGUUGGUGAGGUAACGGCUUACCAAGGCGACGAUCUGUAGCGGGUCUGAGAGGAUGAUCCGCCACACUGGAACUGAGACACGGUCCAGACUCCUACGGGAGGCAGCAGUGGGGAAUUUUGGACAAUGGGGGCAACCCUGAUCCAGCCAUGCCGCGUGAGUGAAGAAGGCCUUCGGGUUGUAAAGCUCUUUCGGCCGGGAAGAAAUCGCAUGGGCCAAUACCCUGUGUGGAUGACGGUACCGGAAUAAGAAGCACCGGCUAACUACGUGCCAGCAGCCGCGGUAAUACGUAGGGUGCGAGCGUUAAUCGGAAUUACUGGGCGUAAAGCGUGCGCAGGCGGUUUUGUAAGACAGGCGUGAAAUCCCCGGGCUCAACCUGGGAACUGCGUUUGUGACUGCAAGGCUAGAGUACGGCAGAGGGGGGUGGAAUUCCACGUGUAGCAGUGAAAUGCGUAGAGAUGUGGAGGAACACCAAUGGCGAAGGCAGCCCCCUGGGUCGAUACUGACGCUCAUGCACGAAAGCGUGGGUAGCAAACAGGAUUAGAUACCCUGGUAGUCCACGCCCUAAACUAUGUCAACUAGGUGUUGGGUGGGUAAAACCAUUUAGUACCGUAGCUAACGCGUGAAGUUGACCGCCUGGGGAGUACGGCCGCAAGGUUAAAACUCAAAGGAAUUGACGGGGACCCGCACAAGCGGUGGAUGAGUGGAUUAAUUCGAUGCAACGCGAAAAACCUUACCUACCCUUGACAUGCCAGGAACUUGCCAGAGAUGGCUUGGUGCCCGAAAGGGAGCCUGGACACAGGUGCUGCAUGGCUGUCGUCAGCUCGUGUCGUGAGGUGUUGGGUUAAGUCCCGCAACGAGCGCAACCCUUGUCGUUAAUUGCCAUCAUUUAGUUGGGCACUUUAGCGAGACUGCCGGUGACAAACCGGAGGAAGGUGGGGAUGACGUCAAGUCCUCAUGGCCCUUAUGGGUAGGGCUUCACACGUCAUACAAUGGUCGGUACAGAGGGUCGCCAAGCCGCGAGGUGGAGCCAAUCCCAGAAAGCCGAUCGUAGUCCGGAUUGCAGGCUGCAACUCGCCUGCAUGAAGUCGGAAUCGCUAGUAAUCGUGGAUCAGCAUGUCACGGUGAAUACGUUCCCGGGUCUUGUACACACCGCCCGUCACACCAUGGGAGCGGGUUCCGCCAGAAGUAGGUAGCCUAACCGCAAGGAGGGCGCUUACCACGGCGGGGUUCGUGACUGGGGUGAAGUCGUAACAAGGUAGCCGUAGGGGAACCUGCGGCUG
rnacentral:rRNA from 1 species